UACAGAGGUCUCAAGCGUUGUUCGGAUUCAUUGGGCGUAAAGGGUGCGUAGGCGGGAUGGCAAGUCAGUCGUGAAAUCUCUCGGCUCAACCGAGAAACGUCGCUGAUACUGCCGUUCUUGAGGGAUGCAGAGGAGACUGGAAUUCCGUGUGAGCGGUGAAAUGCGUAGAUAUCGGGAGGAACACCUGUGGCGAAGGCGGCCGCCUGGUUGGAUACUGACGUGAGACGCGAAAGCGUGGGGAGCAAACAGGG
rnacentral:rRNA from 1 species